rnacentral:rRNA from 1 species
UCAGGGAGGAAUCAAUGACGUGUACCUGAGGAAUAAGCAUCGGCUAACUCCGUGCCAGCAGCCGCGGUAAGACGGAGGAUGCAAGUGUUAUCCGGAAUCACUGGGCGUAAAGCGUCUGUAGGUGGUCCAAUAAGUCAACUGUUAAAUCUUGAGGCUCAACCUCAAAAUCGCAGUCGAAACUAUUAGACUAGAGUAUAGUAGGGGUAAAGGGAAUUUCCAGUGGAGCGGUGAAAUGCGUAGAGAUUGG